UACGGAGGGUGCAAGCGUUAUCCGGAUUUAUUGGGUUUAAAGGGUGCGUAGGCGGCUUUAUAAGUCAGAGGUGAAAGACGGCAGCUCAACUGUCGCAGUGCCUUUGAUACUGUAGAGCUUGAAUUUGAUUGAAGAUGGCGGAAUGAGACAAGUAGCGGUGAAAUGCAUAGAUAUGUCUCAGAACUCCGAUUGCGAAGGCAGCUGUCUAAACAUAUAUUGACGCUGAUGCACGAAAGUGUGGGUAGCAAACAGG
rnacentral:rRNA from 1 species